UUCGGAUCCAUUAGAAACAAAAGAACCCCUUAUCCCUCUUUUGCAGAAACCCUAGCGUCAAAAUCUCUCAGCCAAUCUCUCAGCCAAUUCCUUCUUCUUCCCUUCAAUGCACAGCGAUCUACAAGAUGAUAAAGGCGUUUGGUUUAUGAUGUGCUUUUGAAGCAGGCAACUUUAGUUAAAGAUCAAGUUAUUGAGAAGUGAAGAAGUUUGUUCAGAGUAUGCCAAGACACUCUAUUUAGAUGAUGUUGCUUCAGUUGCACUCAUUCCAACUCCAGUUUCAGUUUCAACAAAUCCAAAGUGGCUACUGAACUCGCAUUAAAAUACAUUACACUUAGACCUUUCAGUUGGGAUCAAGAUACUGACAAAGUCAAUGUGAGGGUGUAUUUUUGUGUUAAUUGUCUACCAGUUGUAAGUUUAUAACUAUAUAUUAUUUAUUCUUGCUAGCUUUUAAAUGGAAGGAAAAUUUAUUUACCAGGUACACUUUCUUUUUGUAUCUAGAAGGACCAUUUUCAUUCUUCAUCGUUUUAUGCCUUUUAAUGGGUGAAUGCUUUUGUUACCCACUUAAUUGUGAGUUGGUUGAUUUUGGGUUACCCUUUACCUUUUUAAUCUCUGUCGGGUCAAAUAAAAAACCUAGAUAUGAAGUAAACAGGUCAAAUGGAUUGAAAAUCACCUAAAAUAUAUUAAAGCAUGCAAUCUCUAUCUAUUAGUUUACUUAGAAGGUGAAUAUAGACAUGUUUUGGUAGCCUUCCCACCAGCUAAUGUCAAGUGUAGUUCUUAUUUUCAAGAAAUUAACCGGUGAAUGCUGAGUUUUGAAUAUUAUUUUAUUUUCAUUGUAGUUUGAAUUGACUAUUCAUGCAAUAAAGGUCGUGUUUUUUGUUGCUUACAGGGUAAUACCAACGGUUCUAGGAACAAAACCAGAAUUACUCUGACAAUUUAUGUGUUCUUUUGAACGAAGAUAGAAUCUUGAUUAUAAAAAAGAACUCCAAAUCUAAUGAAUCUGUUUGGUUUCUUGAGGUAAUAGUAUUCACAUUUAUUGAUCUUGAAAUGAUAGCGUUCGUUAGGUUUUAUUAGGUGGACACACAAUUUAGACGAGACCAAAAAAGUUUGAAACAAAAGUUGUUGCUUGGAGUGAGGGGUUAUUGGUAAUGCUGAGCGGCCCAUAGUAAUUAGUAGCCCGUGUAUGUCGGGUUUGUAAUAUGUCAAAAACGUUUUGUCAAGUGAUGGUUUGAUUUGAAUUCACUAAAUUUUAUGGUUUG
rnacentral:lncRNA from 1 species